rnacentral:rRNA from 1 species
GACGUAGGAGGCGAGCGUUGUCCGGAUUCAUUGGGCGUAAAGAGCACGCAGGCGGUUUGGCAAGUCGGACGUGAAAAUCCGGGGCUCAACCCCGGACCUGCAUCCGAAACUGCCCGACUAGAGGUAGGUAGGGGAGAUCGGAAUUCCUGGUGUAGCGGUGAAAUGCGUAGAUAUCAGGAAGAACACCGGUGGCGAAAGCGCUCUGCUAGGCCGCAACUGACACUGAGGGACGAAAGCUAGGGGAGCGAAUGGG